UAGAUGAUGGAGCUAAAAGCUGGUCUGAUUGAUUCUCAAUGAAAAACUGUCAAUAUCCUGACAGAUGACAUUAAAGAAAAGAAUAGUACAUCACCACCAAGGAAGGUGAACAAAAACUAUGCCAGAGGAAUUGUGCCUUUGUUUCCGUACCUCAGUGUCCCCUUCUUCAAAAAUGGCUAUGUAAGUAUCGCACUGUUUUAGUUUUAGUUUUAAUGCAUUGUUGACAACUUUUAAAUGUUUUGAUCACAUGCCUAUAAUAUAGGUGGUGUAUUUUUCUUUUGGAUUUUAAAACACUUUUUCUUCUCCUUUUUCUGUAUUUUUGUCUUUCUAAGGAGCAUUACUAUGAUGUUGGUAAGAGUGCCACCGGAUGCUUGCUAUGGAGAAUCAAAACUAUACAGAGAGGCAUUUCUAACGAGGAAUAUAAUUUGAAGGUACAAAAUGAAAAGAGAAAUGUCAUUGUGCCACUUUUCACAGCAGUUUUGUAGCUACUGAGUUGCAUUAACUGUGACUAAGGAUUAACUUCAUAUAGCAUUCUUUAAGCAGUUGAUGAUCUUAAAAUGUUUGUUGUGUGUGUCUUGUCAAGGCCAGACGAGACCAGGAAAGGUGUCUAUGUCUCAAGUAGAGAUAUCUUCUAGAAGAGUGGAACAAGCAUUGAGGAGCAUCUUCAAGGCAUUGCUGGAAGUGCUCAGCCCUGUCUCCUGGCUCUUGGAAGAAUUAUUAAGUUCACCAGUACUUCAAUUUUGAUCAGCAUGCCAUUCCAUGCAAGUCAGUCUCUUCUCUUGAUGCUUUUGACAAACUGUUUAAUGGGGUUAAUUUACCCAAAUUCUGUCAACAUUUACUCACCCUCAUGUCGUUCCAAACCUGUAAGACUUUCGUUCAUCUUCAUAACACCAAUGAAGAUAUUUGAAUGAAAUCUGAGAGAUUUCUGUCCCUACAUUGACAGUCCAUGCAACUAGCACAUUCAAGG